GAGUCUUUUCUUUGUGGAGCAAGCCCACAGCUUCUGUGCUGGGUGGUUAAUCCGUUGCUCACAAAUAAAUACAACUAUUGAAGAUCUCCUGACCCCUCCUGCUUCCUGGUGUUAAGACAGAGGUAUCUCAAGGUCUUCUCGCACAGAACAUAUCUACUGCCCUAUUUUGGAAACCUGGCUCUUGAGAAAACUUGGGAAUCAAGGGACCAGGGUGCCUGAAGGGAAACUUCCUUCCUGUUCCAUAUACUCAAGUCAUAUGAAAUCUGGCAAGUGGUCAAAUGAGGAUCAGACAUUUUCGAUAAGGGCCAACCUCCCCAUGGAACUCUCUGCCAGGGAAGAUCUUUGUUGUUGGUAUGCUGGUCCUGUGAUCCCAUUGAACCUGCCCCGAGGUAAGGGAGGAGUCCUCCGAAAGGCAUUCCUGUGGAGCAUCCCGGUUCGUUGACC